AUGGCGUGGUUAAAACCAUCUGGCAUUUAAGAGGUUAAACUCAAUUUGCGUGAGUGCAGCCCCGCCCACUCAUCAGUGGAGAACUGGAAUGUUCCGGUUCUUCCCAGGUUACCAAAAAGAAGUGAGCUACGUAGUUUUCUCAGACAGUGAACAAGUUGGUUCACCAACUUCACCAAACAUUAGAAGAGUAUGUAGAGAGCGAGACAUCGGUUGUGAUUGCCGAGCUUUUUCUUUUCUGCUACUAGUCACGCGCGAGGCCCGGAGCAACCGCGUGUGCACAUUUUGACCAGAGGUCAGGUUCUUUAGAGGGAAUCAAAACUUCUUGGAACUGCAUUUGAAUAUCGUUGGAUGUCGAUGGCGAGCCACCCAUUAAGGAAUUGAACUGACCCUAGUGUUGACAACUCCUGUUCAAUUAACUACCGGAUUUGUGGGUAACCAACAAACAAGUUGGUGAAUCUAAAGAUUUGCCCAAGUUUGGCCACAUCCAAAGACAAACCAACCAGGUUACCACAGCCAAUCCGAAGCAAGCACGUGCUACAUAAAGUUGAAGUGCCUCUCAGAUUAGAAAUUUCAUUAGUGGUAAUGGUGUUGCAUUGUUAUCAGUAUAUGACAAUAAAAUG